rnacentral:rRNA from 1 species
AUAUUAAUAAGCGGAGGAGAAGAAAUUAACUAAGAUUGCCUUAGUAAGGGCGACUGAACCGGCAAAAGCUCGAAAUUAAAAUCGGUCAUUCAAUGAAUUACCGAAUUGUAAUCAGGGUGCCCUAAAUACGUGAAGUAAUUAAAGUGUAUCGAAAGACACGCCAUAGAGGGUAAAAGCCCCGUAAAGUUAUUUCACGAGUAACGGGAACUCGAAAAAGAGUCGUGUUGCUUGGAACUGCAGCACUAAGCGGGAGAUAUGAUUCUUCCAAAGCUAAAUAUGGAUGGGAGACCGAUAGCGCACAAGUA